UCUGCAGGACCGACUCUCCAUGGGGUGGGGCUCCCAGGGCAGGCACAUCUUGACUCAUCCUUGCCGCCAGCUUUUCUCCCCACAGGUAUUGCCACAUUGUAUCUGCUGGCCACACGUGCGGGCUCUCCUGGGCUUUUGCCAGAACUGGAUGACGUCAUUGUUUAAUUCCUGGUAUGUCACUUCUCCUUUCGUUCUGCGAGGCGUUUGGGGACUGUUUCCACUAUUUUCUGAAGAGCCUGGGAAGAUGAUGGAAUGUCAAGGAAAAAAAGUACUCAGGGACUUCCCUGGCGGUCCAGCGGUUAAGACUCCCUGCUUCCACUUCAGGGAAAGUGGGUUUAAUCCCCGGUCAGGGAACGAAGAUCCCACAUGCUGCACGGCUCGGCCACAGAGUUAAAAAAUGAAUAAAUAAAAACGUAAUAAAAGAGGAUCGCCACCGGUGAGCAUCCGGGCGUUUGAUCUGAUGAUGUUGUGAGUGUGGUGUCAGGCGUGUGCUGAGCAAGCUCAGGGGGGCCUGAAAGGAGUCUGUGAUGCCAGCAUCCACGUCUGCAGACCUGGAAGGGCUGCUCUGCGCCCUCAGCCCUGUGCACCCUGGGGCAGCCACGCACACGGCCAGCCCCUGGUCCUGUGUCCCCAGCCCCCAGCCCCGUGGCUCCCACAUCCUCUGCCAUCACUGGUGCUGCUGGACCGUAUAUACGACCCAGACAGAGGCACCUUGGUCCAAUUAGUCAAGAGAAAACACUGACAUUAGCAUCUGGGCGUAUAGAAGGAUUCAACACCACACUGUCCUCGGGGAGAGGAGAUAAAACAGAUGAUUCAGUAACCAUGGACAGAUAAAAAUAAUAAUUAUCAGAGGGCGGAAAGUGAUGGGAGAGAAUUAAAGAUUACAGUAGCUUAGCACAGAAUUAAGGUUAAUUAACCAAACUCUGGCCACGCAUGCGUUUCAAUUGAUCAAUACAAACAAAAGGAGUGGCACCGACCCCUGGUGCUGGCUAGCGGCCUGGUGGCUGCUCCCUCUCCCCAGCCUGAGUCCUCCUGGGACCCUGAAGAGGAUGGGAACGCCCCGCUUUCCCACUCAGAUCCCCGAGGGAAGUCGACCUUCCUCCCAGGACAAGACGGAAGUGUGGCUUCCGCAGCACCUCCGUCCACAGCGCCCCUCCUGCCCUGGGGCGUCUGGACUCACUCAGUAGCUCUUCAUUUCUGAGACUUGUGUCGCAAACUACCACAGACCGGGCCUCAGGGAUGGACUGUCUCCCAGUUCAGGAGGCCAGAAGUCCAAAACCAAGGUGUUGGCGGUUGGUUUUUUCUCGGGGACUCGGGGAAAAGUGGAUUUCCUGCCUCUUGUCACCGCAGUCCUUGGUGUUCCUUGGGUUGGGGAUGUGUCCCCCGGGUCUCUGCCUCGCUCAGCAUGUGGCCUUCCCCUGUCUGCGUGUCUGUGCUCUCCUCCAGUUCCUAGCAGGACAUCAGCCACACUGGAUCAGGGCCCACCCGAACUGAAUAUGCCCUCACCGUAGCUCCUUACCUCUGCAAAGACGCUCCUGCACUCACGGUGCCAGGUGUGUGGACGUGAGCUUAUCUUUCCAGAGACAGUUUGACCCCUGCAGGUUUAGGCUUGGCAACCCCGGGGCCUCCCAGCUCUGUCUUUCUGAUUCCACCAGACUGAGUGGGUUUGCCUUCCCACCCUGUCCUUUUGCUGAGGGUCCUCAGAUGACAAAGGUGCCAAAGGGUGGGUGGGGACCCUCUGCAGCCCCUCCUCACGUUCACUCGUUCAGAGGCUGCUAAGGCCGCAGGCAGCGGGGCUGGGGCUGGGACAUCCCGCCCCAUGUAGGGUGGUGGACAGAAUCACACUAAAGACUUUAGGGAAACAAACCCUGACCCUGACCCNNNNNNNNNNNNNNNNNNNNNNNNNNNNNNNNNNNNNNNNNNNNNNNNNNNNNNNNNNNNNNNNNNNNNNNNNNNNNNNNNNNNNNNNNNNNNNNNNNNUUUAGGGAAACAAACCCUGACCCUGACCCCCACUGCCCUCAGGAAGCUCGCCCCCUUCCUGGCCUCCGUCUGGGCCUGCAGCUGAAUGCCCUGUACCUUUUGUCUCUGAUCUUUGCGUUCAUUUCCAGUAUGUGAGACUGUUCUCCUCCUGGCUGGUUCAGACCAUUUGCGAAGAAUAACUUCACAAGCCUGGAAUUAGACGCUGCACAAAAGUCUAGAUACAUAAUGCAUUUUGUAAUUCUGUCACACUCAAAACAAGCUGUCAAAACUGUCUGGCAUGACUUAUCCUUAAUAAAUCCCUCGUCCCGUUAAUUGCUCCUUAUUCCACUGAAUCGGAAUUGUUCGACUCCACAAUCGGGGAGGGAUAAAGGGAUGCAUUUAGAGGAUUGCGCCGUUUUCCCAGUGCAAGAGGAUCCAGGACUGGCAGUGGGCACCACGCAGCCCUCGGCGAUGAAGCUGGGCGGAAUGCACUACAGCUUUGCGUCUGCGGUUUCUAGCAGUUCUCUCCUUGGAAGCUUUGGAGGGAAAGCAACAUGCUGAGUAUUGGGA
ensembl:lncRNA